UUUUCCCUUGAAGAGUCAGGGGCAAAUGCAAAAGAGUGGGAAUGUAUUCGAUCGGCCUCUUCUUGGGCGAUAUGAGCUUGGAUACUAUCAAGCCUGGCUCGGUAGCUUUGGUGUCGUAGUUUCAAUUGCUCGGGCAUCAAUGACACAUGAUUUUAUCCCUUAUGGACAACAUCUCCUCAUGCGGUCAGCAGCUAGGGUGGAGGUGUUGCUUUCCACCCUACGGCAGGCAGGGAACCUGCACGCAAGCGCCUCCUGUGCUGAGGAGAAGGAGCGUGAGCUCGCUGAGCUUUGUUCCAAGGCCGAGCGGCUUGAGGACGAGGAGACUAGCUUGUGCUCAGAGUGUGUUGAUGCCCGGAGCGACGUCGACCGUCUUCGGGAAGAAGGAUCCCGGUUGUAAGGGACCCUCCGCGAGAUGAGUAUGCGAGCUAAGGAGGCCAAGUCAUCCCUUAAGGAGGCUAAUGCCUGCCUGGAGAAGGUGGACACAGAGCUCUUGAAAGAGCGCAACAUAGCUAAGGAGCUCUAGAAGAUGUUCUCCCGAGUCCCAGAGGCCUUGAAGGCGACGGCGGAGGCGAAGGCAAUGGUGGAGGCCAAGAUGCGAGAGCUUUCAUAGGCUCGUGAUGAUGUCGUUGCUACGACUGGCCAGGUGGUGGUCAAGCUCUCAGAAUGGAGCACUGAGCUCCAGGAUUUUUGUCUGGUUGUCGGUAGGUUGUGCACCCAUCUCUCGUGCCUGCCCCCGAUAGAGGUACCCUUGAUCGACACUUGUGAGUGUUACCUAGCCAUGUGGAGCAUGUCAUAGUCGAAGGUGUCUUUCAUGGAGGCAGCAUGGCUGUGGGGCAGAUGGUCUCCCAAUUUGACGAGAUCAAUGCCACCGUGAUCGCGAAAGGCUUUGCCGCCGUCCGGAGUGACGAGGAGCUAGAUAGAAUUGAAGAUCAGGUUUGUCCCCAUGCCCAAUCGCUCAUGGGUCAAGUUGAUGUGAAGACCCUUCUGGCUGGUCCUUGGAGUCUUGCGUCGUCCUCUGACGAUCCACAUGUUGAUGCUUGAACGAUCGCUUAGUUGGGUGUUUUGUAAUAAUUCCUUUGAAUGCCUGUAUGAAACUAUUUUGUGAAUAUUUCUUCUAUCUUAAAUUAUUUUGUUCUGGCUUCA